rnacentral:rRNA from 2 species
UCCAGUGGCCAUACUGAAGGGGAAACACCCGUUCCCAUUCCGAAUACGGAAGUUAAGCCCUUUGAGGCCGAUGGUACUGCCUUGGUUACAUUGUGGGAGAGUAGGAAGCUGCUGGGA